rfam:Capsicum annuum cultivar Zunla-1 chromosome 12, whole genome shotgun sequence
GUCCCUUCGGGGACAUCCGAUAAAAUUGGAACGAUACAGACAAGAUUUGCGUGGCCUUUGCGCAAGGAUGACAUGAACAAAUCGAAAAAUGAUCCAAAUUUUU